AUUGAACGCUGGCGGCAUGCCUUACACAUGCAAGUCGAACGGCAGCACGGGAGCAAUCCUGGUGGCGAGUGGCGAACGGGUGAGUAAUAUAUCGGAACGUGCCCAGUCGUGGGGAUAACGUAGCGAAAGCUACGCUAAUACCGCAUACGAUCUAUGGAUGAAAGCGGGGGAUCGCAAGACCUCGCGCGAUUGGAGCGGCCGAUAUCAGAUUAGGUAGUUGGUGAGGUAAAGGCUCACCAAGCCGACGAUCUGUAGCUGGUCUGAGAGGACGACCAGCCACACUGGGACUGAGACACGGCCCAGACUCCUACGGGAGGCAGCAGUGGGGGAAUAUUGGACAAUGGGCGCAAGCCUGAUCCAGCAAUGCCGCGUGCAGGAUGAAGGCCUCGGUU
rnacentral:rRNA from 1 species